CAGCCGCCGCGGGAAUACAGAGGGUGCGAGCGUUAAUCGGAUUUACUGGGCGUAAAGCGUGCGUAGGCGGCUUUUUAAGUCGGAUGUGAAAUCCCUGAGCUUAACUUAGGAAUUGCAUUCGAUACUGGGAAGCUAGAGUAUGGGAGAGGAUGGUAGAAUUCCAGGUGUAGCGGUGAAAUGCGUAGAGAUCUGGAUGAAUACCGAUGGCGAAGGCAGCCAUCUGGCCUAAUACUGACGCUGAGGUACGAAAGCAUGGGGAGCAAACAGGAUUAGAUACCCCCGUAGUCCCUGUCUCUUAUAC
rnacentral:rRNA from 1 species